UUCAAUUGGGGAUAUAUAAUCAACAUCAACCUCGUUCCUCUUCCCCACUCACACUCUCUCUAUUUCCCCAUCCCAAUUUUUCAUGGCCCUAACCAUCUCUUCUCCAAAUCUUCUCUCCUAAAUCAACACUUGUUUCUGUUAGUAAGCUGCAUCUACUAUGAUUCUCUGUUUCUCAUGUACUGAAACAGAGAAUACGAAAAGAUGCCAAAUCAACAGGUUCCUCAAUGGACUGGCAUAGUCCCAAUUUUAAUAGGCUUUUGCUAUUUCUCGUAGGAUUCACAAUUUCUAAUCUUUUCUACAAUUUUUGCUCUUCUCCUUUCUGGGUCUCGGUUUUCAUUUUCCAAAAUUAAGAAAUAAGGUUUUUUCUUUUCAAUUUUUAUUACUCUUUCAGGCUUCUGGGUUUCAAUUAUUAUUUCUCAUAAUUUAGGGAUUCAUGGGCGAAGUUGCAUCUUUGUUUGACUUGAGUUGUUUUAUGUUAUUCUUUUUUAUGUUUUUUUGAUCUGGUUGUAUAUAUAGAUGUGAUUGCUCGAUGAUGAUUCUUUUUGCUUUAACCACACCGAAGAGAUGCUGGGUAGGGUUUCAGGGCUCAUUUCCAUUAAGGGUUGAUGUGUUCUUAUUGUGCUUGGGUUAGCCUGGUGACUUCAACUUCUAACUUAAGAGGUAUUUGGUUACCUCUUCUUUUAGAGAUUGGGAGAGGGCUUUUUCAAGCACUUUGAGGGGACUCACUUAAACUGGAGGGGUCUUUACCUAUCUCAAGUUUUCUCAUGUGGAAAAAACUGGCCUUUGACUGAGAGCAAUCAACCACCACAACUACUCUUUAUAUUUUGAAUUUUGAUUCCCUUGUAAUUUUUAACUGUUGAUUUGUCUCAUGGUGUUAUUGUGGAUCUUUUAAAGAGAAGAUUCAAUUGAAUUGUUUUGGUCUCUGCAGGUAGAUCUCAGAAGAAUGUUGGGAUGCUAUCACAAGGGAAAACUAACAUUUUGAUGCAUUUUAUAAUCACAAUGUCAUAUAAUUAUGAAUGAAUAUGAAUAAAGGUGCUGCAGUUGUUUUUUUUUAUUCUUUUUAUGAAACAUCAAUUUUGAUUAUAUAAUUAAAAGUUAGAAAAUUAGAUGCGGUAUGAUGAAUUGGUAGUUGAUCAAGGUGUCGUAAACAAUUUAGAACCUCUUUUUGAAGAUCGUAAGAUUAUUAUACAAUCAAAAUUUAGAAUACUCUUGAAGUUUAAUUAAAACUGAAAGAUAUUUAAAAUAACUUCUUUUAAAAUAGCUCUAUGUCUAUAAACAAACGUAUAGAGUUUCUGACUUUUUUUAAAAAAAAAAACUACUAAUUUAUAUUCAGAAAAUAAUGUAUUUUAGUCUAGUAAUAGAAUCCAAAUAAAUUUACAUUACUUUAAAAUUUUGGACUAAAUUUAUCAAUUUGAAUGUAAGGAUACAAAAUAUAAAUCUUGACAGGAAGAUUUACUAAAUAAUCAUUUUCUGAAACAAUAAGGUGUACUGCUACAAGCGAACCUAAAAUCAGUUAUAGUUUUAUAUUGGUAUUGUUUAACACCAUGAGACACUAUAGUGUUACAAUCUAAGUAUAUUCGUAUGGUGUUACAG
rnacentral:lncRNA from 1 species